UAAGACGUAGGGGGCGAGCGUUGUCCGGAUUCAUUGGGCGUAAAGCGCACGCAGGCGGUUUGUUAAGUCAGAUGUGAAAUCCCCGGGCUCAACCUGGGAACUGCAUUUGAAACUGGCAAGCUAGAGUCUCGUAGAGGGGGGUAGAAUUCCAGGUGUAGCGGUGAAAUGCGUAGAGAUCUGGAGGAAUACCGGUGGCGAAGGCGGCCCCCUGGACGAAGACUGACGCUCAGGUGCGAAAGCGUGGGGAGCAAACAGGAUUAGAUACCCUGGUAGUCCACGCUGUAAACGAUGUCGAUUUGGAGGUUGUGCCCUUGAGGCGUGGCUUCCGGAGCUAACGCGUUAAAUCGACCGCCUGGGGAGUACGGCCGCAAGGUUA
rnacentral:rRNA from 1 species